ACCCGCUGAACUUAAGCAUAUCAAUAAGCGGAGGAAAAGAAACCAACAGGGAUUGCCCUAGUAACGGCGAGUGAAGCGGCAACAGCUCAAAUUUGAAAUCUGGCGUCUUUGGCGUCCGAGUUGUAAUUUGCAGAGGGCGCUUUGGCAUCGGCAGCGGUCCAAGUUCCUUGGAACAGGACGUCACAGAGGGUGAGAAUCCCGUACGUGAUCGCUAGCCUUUACCGUGUAAAGCCCCUUCGACGAGUCGAGUUGUUUGGGAAUGCAGCUCUAAAUGGGAGGUAAAUUCCUUCUAAAGCUAAAUACUGGCCAGAGACCGAUAGCGCACAAGUAGAGUGAUCGAAAGAUGAAAAGCACUUUGGAAAGAGAGUUAAAAAGCACGUGAAAUUGUUGAAAGGGAAGCGCUUGCAGCCAGACUUGCCUGUAGUUGCUCAUCCGGGUUUUUACCCGGUGCACUCUUCUAUAGGCAGGCCAGCAUCAGUUUGGGCGGUUGGAUAAAGGUCUCUGUCAGGUACCUCUCUUCGGGGAGAACUUAUAGGGGAGACGACAUGCAACCAGCCUGGACUGAGGUCCACGCAUCUGCUAGGAUGCUGGCGUAAUGGCUGU
rnacentral:rRNA from 1 species